GACGAACGCUGGCGGCGCGCCUAACACAUGCAAGUCGAACGAGCGAGAGAGAGCUUGCUUUCUCGAGCGAGUGGCGAACGGGUGAGUAACGCGUGAGGAACCUGCCUCAAAGAGGGGGACAACAGUUGGAAACGACUGCUAAUACCGCAUAAGCCCACGGUGCCGCAUGGCACAGAGGGAAAAGGAGUAAUCCGCUUUGAGAUGGCCUCGCGUCCGAUUAGCUAGUUGGUGAGGUAACGGCCCACCAAGGCGACGAUCGGUAGCCGGACUGAGAGGUUGAACGGCCACAUUGGGACUGAGACACGGCCCAGACUCCUACGGGAGGCAGCAGUGGGGAAUAUUGCACAAUGGGGGAAACCCUGAUGCAGCGACGCCGCGUGGAGGAAGAAGGUCUUCGGAUUGUAAACUCCUGUUGUUGGGGAAGAUAAUGACGGUACCCAACAAGGAAGUGACGGCUAACUACGUGCCAGCAGCCGCGGUAAAACGUAGGUCACAAGCGUUGUCCGGAAUUACUGGGUGUAAAGGGAGCGCAGGCGGGAAGACAAGUUGGAAGUGAAAUCUAUGGGCUCAACCCAUAAACUGCUUUCAAAACUGUUUUUCUUGAGUAGUGCAGAGGUAGGCGGAAUUCCCGGUGUAGCGGUGGAAUGCGUAGAUAUCGGGAGGAACACCAGUGGCGAAGGCGGCCUACUGGGCACCAACUGACGCUGAGGCUCGAAAGUGUGGGUAGCAAACAGGAUUAGAUACCCUGGUAGUCCACACCGUAAACGAGGAUUACUAGGGGUAGAGGAUGGGCCCCUCCCGCGCCGCAGUUACCACAAUAAGUAAUCCACCUGGAGAGUACGACCGCAAGGUUGAAACUCAAAGGAAUUGACGGGGGCCCGCACAAGCAGUGGAGUAUGUGGUUUAAUUCGACGCAACGCGAAGAACCUUACCAAGUCUUGACAUCCCUUGACAGGCAUAGAAAUAUGUUUUCUCUUCGGAGCAAGGAGACAGGUGGUGCAUGGUUGUCGUCAGCUCGUGUCGUGAGAUGUUGGGUUAAGUCCCGCAACGAGCGCAACCCUUAUGGUCAGUUACUACGUAAGAGGACUCUGGCCAGACUGCCGUUGACAAAACGGAGGAAGGUGGGGGGGACGUCAAAUCAUCAUGCCCUCUAUGACUUGGGCUACACACGUACUACAAUGGCGUUAAACAAAGAGAAGCAAGACCGCGAGGUGGAGCAAAACUCAGAAACAACGUCCCAGUUCGGACUGCAGGCUGCAACUCGCCUGCACGAAGUCGGAAUUGCUAGUAAUCGUGGAUCAGCAUGCCACGGUGAAUACGUUCCCGGGCCUUGCAC
rnacentral:rRNA from 1 species